CAACUUACCUGGCAGGGGAGAUACCAUUCUCAUAAAGGUGUUUUUAUUUAGGGUGAGGGGUAUCCAUCUCACUGUGGAUGUGCUGACCCCUGAGACUUCCCCAAAUGUGGGAAUCUCAAGUGUAUGAUUUGUGGUGGUGGUGGACUGCAUUCAUACUCUCCCCUG